rnacentral:rRNA from 1 species
AGUCUAGGCGGUCAGGUAAGUGGGAUGUGAAAGCUCUCGGCUCACCCGAGAAUGUGCAUCUCAAACUGCCUGGCUUGAGUAUGGGAGAGGAUGAGGGAAUUCCUGGUGUAGCGGUGAAAUGCGUAGAUAUCGUGAGGAACACCAGAGGCGAAGGCGGCUACCUGGACAAUUGCUGAGCUCAGGCACGAAGCGUGGGGAGCAAAG